GGGGAAUUUUCCGCAAUGGGCGAAAGCCUGACGGAGCAAGACCGCGUGGGGGAUGAAGGUUUGUGGAUUGUAAACCCCUUUUGAUUGGGAAGAAUACUGACGGUACCAAUCGAAUAAGCCUCGGCUAACUCCGUGCCAGCAGCCGCGGUAAUACGGAGGAGGCAAGCGUUAUCCGGAAUUAUUGGGCGUAAAGCGUCCGUAGGUGGUUUAGUAAGUCUGCUGUUAAAGCGCGGGGCUUAACUCCGUAUCGGCAGUGGAAACUACUAGACUAGAGUGUGGUAGGGGUAGAGGGAAUUCCCAGUGUAGCGGUGAAAUGCGUAGAUAUUGGGAAGAACACCGGUGGCGAAAGCGCUCUACUGGGCCAUAACUGACACUGAUGGACGAAAGCUAGGGGAGCGAAAGGGAUUAGAUACCCCAGNUAGUC
rnacentral:rRNA from 1 species